AUAGUAAUAGCGUAAAUUUUGGGUAAACUACUCAAUAUUUGUUUCUGGUAAUUCUUGUGUGCCUAAACCCUAAGUUGCCUGACUAUAUAUGACCUUCUAAACUCAUUUACUCAGCAUCAUUACCAACCAAGUUCGAACCGGUAUGCAAUCUAACAAAAAAUGAGUUCUAUGCACUCAAUAUCUGAGUUGAAACAUUUCAAAGGUGAAAAAGAGAUGUAAAAAGUUUUUGGAAGCAAUACUAGGCUAAAGGAGGACAAAAUGCGACAUUUAAAAAGGUUUUGGUUUCUUAGUUUGAUCCUUUUCUGAAACAAGGAUAAAAAGGAUUUGAUUUCUCUUUUUGAUUCAAAUAUAUAAGCAGGUGACUUCAAAUAGACGAGGAGCUUCAUGUUCUCACAUUUUGUUUGACCCUGAACUCCUAGAAAUAGAAGCCUUCAAAAACAAGAUACCAAGAAGAGCCUUUUCAUGUGAGUUGCAUAUUAAUUCGAAUUUUAUUUUGGUUUUCAGUUUCUGAAUAAUAAAGCCUUUGCAACGUAUCGUUCAUAUUUUGAUUUGUACCAUUGUUGUUUUUAGCAUUUGAUCUUAAGAUUCUAAUUGAUGAACUAUGUACCGUUUAAAUUAUCUUGCCAGGACUAAACUAUUGAAAGCGUUAUUUUUAGUUAUU